GAUGGCGCGUGCUUACCUGCAAGUCGAGGGCGGGGAGCAAUCCCCGACCGGCGAACGGGUGCGUAACACGUGAGCGACCUUCCGUCUUCUGGGGGAUAGCCGGCCCAACGGCCGGGUAAUACCGCAUACGCUCUUUUGAUCGCAUGAUCGAGAGAGGAAACUUCCGGGGGAGGACGAGGGGCUCGCGGCCUAUCAGCUAGUUGGUGGGGUAACGGCCCACCAAGGCGACGACGGGUAGCUGGUCUGAGAGGAUGGCCAGCCACAUUGGGACUGAGAGACGGCCCAGACUCCUACGGGAGGCAGCAGUGGGGAAUCUUGCGCAAUGGCCGAAAGGCUGACGCAGCGACGCCGCGUGUGGGAGGAAGCUCUUCGGGGUGUAAACCACUGUUGCCCGGGACGAACAGCACUAUUCGUAGUGCCUGACGGUACCGGGUGAGGAAGCACCGGCUAACUCUGUGCCAGCAGCCGCGGUAAUACAGAGGGUGCGAGCGUUGUCCGGAAUCACUGGGCGUAAAGGGCGCGUAGGUGGUGGCUUAAGCGUGCGGUGAAAGCUCGGAGCUCAACUCCGAGUCGGCCGUGCGAACUGGGCUCACUGGAGCAUAGUAGAGGCAGGUGGAAUUCCGGGUGUAGCGGUGGAAUGCGUAGAGAUCCGGAAGAACACCGGUGGCGAAGGCGGCCUGCUGGGCUAUGGCUGACACUGAGGCGCGACAGCGUGGGGAGCAAACAGGAUUAGAUACCCUGGUAGUCCACGCCGUAAACGAUGGGCACUAGGUGCUUGGGGGAGCGACCCCCUGGGUGCCGGCGC
rnacentral:rRNA from 1 species